UUCGUUCUAUCCUGGGAGGAAAUAAUUCAUAACCUUGGGUACUAGGAGGGGAUUAAAUUCUUUAAGGAAACACUGUGAAUUCAGUGGGCUUGAAUUAAUUACUGUUUCAUUACGAUAACUUAUAUUUCCCAAAAUUAUUAUUUACAAAUACAGCAAUAUUGGCGGGACUAACAAAUAUCAACUUGUAGAAAACACUGUGAAUUCAGUGGGCUCGAAUUAAUUACUGUUUCAUUACGAUAACUUAUAUUUCCCAAAAUUAUUAUUUACAAAUACAGCAAUAUUGGCGGGACUAACAAAUAGAAAACAAAGGCCGUGACCGUCAGGGAAAGUAAAGAAGUUAUAAUCAACUGUGUCUAAGUAACAUAAAGGAACUAUUUAAAAACAAAGGUUCUCCACCAGACCAUUUGACUGCUAAAAUCAAUAAUUUUAUACUUAAUUAAAAGAAACUUUUCAUGCCUUGAGCUGAAAAUUGGCAUUUUGUCUGACCAAAAUACUAUAUAAACCAGUUAGAUCAUCCCAGUCUCCACAAAACCAACAUUUGAAAACAAAACCAGACAAGACACCAGGACUAAACCAUGAUGAACUCUAGCUCGCUUCUGGUGUUGCUAAUCUUUGCCACUUUUACUUACUGCUUAGAUGCGAGAUUACAGGUAUGUCAGCCGAGUGGAAAAAUCAUAGGCAUAAAGCCACCUCCAGGACAAUGUAACCCGGAAAAUGACUCAGAUUGUUGCAAACAAGGCAAGAUGUACACCACUUACAAAUGUUCGCCUCCUGUGACCGGCAACACAAAGGCUGUUUUGACACUAAAUAGCUUCCAAAAGGGUGGAGAUGGUGGUGGACCAUCGGAAUGUGAUAACCAAUACCAUUCUGAUGAUACUCCAGUCGUUGCCCUUUCAACCGGAUGGUACAGUGGAGGAGAUAGGUGCCUUAACUAUAUCACUGUAAGUGCUAAUGGCAAAAGCGUGAAGGCUAAAGUUGUAGACGAAUGUGACUCUACCAUGGGAUGUGAUGACGAACAUGAUUAUCAGCCUCCAUGCCCGAAUAACAUUGUUGAUGCCUCUAAAGCAGUGUGGGAAGCCUUGGAUAUACCUGAAGGUGAUUGGGGCGAUUAUGACAUUACAUGGUCUGAUGCUUAGUGCGUAUUACUAGCAGAACAGUACCACAUGUAUGAUGAUGUGAAUAUCUGAAUUAUCUCUAUUAUGUGCAUUUAAAUCUAUUGAAGUGCUGUACUCUCUUGCGACGUGAGAUAGCAAACUUGUAUCUAUUUGCAUGUUAUAUUGUUUUCUAUUGAAUGGUUAGAGACAGAUUUCAAACUCAGGCAGACAUAUCAGUCCAAUGAAAUCAAGAAAUAAUAAAAGUAUGUCUUCCACCACAAGAUCAAGAAAAAAUUCGCCAAUUUCAUGGAACAGUCUGUUUCUAGAAGACAACCCACAAUAUGUUACACACGCUGGCGGAAGCCUCCAGCAUGAAUUGAACUACUACUAAAGUAGAAAGGCAGAUUCAAGUUAAACUGCAAAAAAAACUCCUAUAUCACUACAAUCUAUGGUGCUGCUGAUGGUUAUAAGAACAUGUCUCAUGUCAAGGUGGUAGGACUGGAGAAAUCAGAACAUAAUAUAUACAGUGCUCACUCAUCUACCUACAUAUGAAGUAGUCAUCCUCGCAUCAAAUCAAUGUCAAUAUGGCCUGUUUGUAGAUCCAUCUGCCUUGAACUAGGCCAUACUCCCAUUGAAGAGGAUGGUGUAAGAUUCUGGUUCGAUAGAGCAUCAGCUGGAUUUACAGAAUCGCCAGUAGUUUGAAGAUCUGAAGUUCCUGCGCUUUGUACACUUUCUGCAGCUCUUUUCUUUGCCUUCGAACUUGAGCAUAAAAAGCUUCCCACUAUUACCUGAAGUCAUUCACUUUCAAUUUCAGGAUUUGAACAGGUAAGUGAUAAGUCAAGGGUCUGAAUUCGCCACAAGAUAAGAAGGCUUAGCCUCCAUGUCAUCAAGCGAGCAAGCAGUUUAAUAGGAAAAAACCAAUUUCGUCAUGAUCUAGAGAUGAUAACACAAUUAUAUACAAUAUCUAAAACAAGUCAAACACUUUUGAGAUUCAAAGGUGCAUGUGGGUUAGAAUGGAAGCAACCUUAUUUAGUUUCUUACUAAUUUCCAAAUGACUUCAUCAUAGUAUCACGAAGAUAGCCAAAAACCUAAUGAUUUCUGUUCAAAGACAUCAAAUGGAGAUCUCGUUAAGAUGAAAGGCAUUGAAAAUAAUACCUGAAUCGGACUUGCUGCAAUUAGAAGACCACCAACUCCACCACCUAUCACGCGACCAUCUGGAUUAGCAAGAGUAACACUAAGGCUACCAAUCCUACCCCGAGAUCCACCACUAUCGCUGACCAAGAAAGAGCCCGAUAGACAUAAUAUCUCAAACCGUCCCUGUAUGGGAUAAGAACAUUUGCUUGGAAAUUUAUUUUUGCAGAAAAAAGAUGGAGAAUGAGAAGGUAAAUGAGGUAAUAUGCAAUAAUAUACUUAAAUCAGUACUUAACACAAUUAUAAUCAGUACAAAAGUUCUGGCAUCUGCAAUCAAUAGCUACGGAUAAGUACGAUCAGUUUCCUCACUAGUGCAAUUUAAAUGUCAAACCAAGAAAAAGUGAGUAGUGAAUUAAAACAUUUAUACAUAAGAAUUAAGCAAACAACCAUGAAGUCUAGGCCACAAAAUUUCUUAAUCUAUGAGUUAAAAAUUCUCCAAUUGGGUAUUAAGGACAUAGGCAAUUAGCUCUCAAAGUUAUUUCAGGGUUAAUAACAUAUCCAGGUAACAUUAACAGUUUUAUUUCCUAUUCAUUAGCAAACAACUCAAUUUCACCUUUGCAUCUCAAGCAAAGAUAAAAACUUCCUGCAGAUCAGUCUGAACUAUAGACAUUUAUGCUCUCCAUUUAGGAGAUAUCAAUUUACUGUUAUAAGCUUGAAAAAUUAUAUUUUUGGAAUUUAAUGUUAGUCUUCAGACCUCAUAUGUAACAGUGCCACCAGAAGUUGAUGGCUGACGAAGAGUUACAGUGGAGAUGACACCAUUUGCUGAUAAAAUACAUAUUGAUCUAGGCCCUUGUUGCGAAAAUGACAUUAUUUUUGUUGUGAUGUCCUGCAGGAAAGCCGCAAAUGAACCACUCAUUAAUAUUGUUAGUGCCAGAAAUUAAAUUAAAAUAGAAAAGGAACUGAAUGGCUGAAAGAGCACUAAUUAUGGUAAGCCACAAGCAGUUUUUCCAAUUGAAGUUAUAACAAUAUUCUACUGUGCUCAAGCGUAGAAUCACCUUUUAGUUGUUAAUUCAAACAUAAUUUGACUUUUCACUUUCAAGUGUCAACUAUUAAAAGAAACCUCCUAAGAUAAGUGAUUCCAGAUUCUCCUUACAUACUCAAUUCAUUAAGCCAACUACAGCUAAAAAGGCACCCAUAAACAGCAGAAUGGUACUAUGAGAGACUUUCAGAGAUGUUUAUCAAUAUAUUGAGAUUGCAAACCUGUAAAGAAAAAUCGUUAGUUGUUUCUAGUUAGUGACAAGUAAGUUCCAAUGCAAUAGUUAAGCGCAAAAACCGUGUAAACACUUUGCUUUGCCCUUCCCCCUUCCACAAACAAACGCACCCAAUCCGAUGGAGAGAAGCAUAUAGCAACCAAAUAAUCCCUCUCAUUGCAUAUGCUCAUGUACUGAUCAAUCUAGGUCCCUGAAGAUAUCUAGACCAAAAUAAAUGAAACUAUUUCUUUUUCUUUCUUUGCUAUUUGAAUUCAUUACGUUACUUCUUUCUCAAGUUCAUAGAAAGCCUAACGUUGGAAAAUAAACAGGGGGUGGAAAAGUUCAUUCCCAUGCUCUUACAAUUUCCAUGUAUAAAGCUGUAAUGUGCCAGCAUGGUAGAAGCGAGAAAAAAGUUAAAAGAGUAGUUUCAGUCAUGCUAUCAAUGUGAUAUGCUAAUUUACACACUCUAAAACAUGUGAAUCACAUACUUCUCCUACAGCAAUCAUGAUGACAUGCGGGGUAAAACCAAUUCCAGCUGUAUUGGACAACCAUCCACCUAGCAAAAGAAUCGACCAAUUAUAAGACAAUCAAACGGCAAGUUGGCAACCAAAGAAACAUCACAGCUGCAGGAAUUUCGGAAAAUUCUCAACGGAUAGAAAACAAUACUCACAUUGAUGAAUAACACUGAUACUUAACAAAGAAAGAAAAGAAUUUUAUGAAAUUUCAACCUCGUGUAGAAAGUACAUUUUACUUUCUUUAGGACAAUUAUUGAAUUUGGUGGUUCGGAUUUUCCACUCUGAAGCCUCAUGUGACUAUAAAAUGCUUCUGUGUACUUAUCCGAUCAAUAUGCUUUAUCAUCCUUUUACAUAUCUAUCUAUCUUAUAUGAGGUAGCUUUAUUGCAAGAGAAUUCCAUUCACUAUUCAGGAAGACACAAUGAUAAGCAAAAUUAUAAUGAUGCAGAUAGCCAACUGCAAAAAGGAAUAUUUUGUGGCCUAAGAGGAAUGCAAAGAAGCAAGUUGGUAGAGCUUCCUCAAUCAGAUGGUUCUUGAUUAAACAAAGAACUUAGCAAAAAACUACUAAGAGUACUAAACAAAUAUAUCAGGUGACUACCAUUUAACUACUCAAAUUGCCAGGAUCCAUGGAAAUGCAAACUAAAGGGAGAAAUUACCAAAAGACGCAAGUUGCUGCUUUCGUCCAGUCCCUGGUGGCCUUCCUCUACCCCUCUUCUGAGUUGGGAUUAAUGUCAUCGCCUGAGUAGACGGAGGUGGAGUCAAUGCCAAUGACAUCGCCCCUUGAGCUCCAUACUUCCGAGGCCUACCCCUCUUUCUGCGCACAGGCUCACCUUGUGGCAAUGCUGAUGAUGCACCAAUACUACCUAUAGGGGAUAUCGUCGAAGAAGGAUCCACUACUAGUGUUUGUGGAAUCGAAGCGCCACUACUACUAGAUUGAAAGGGAAUAUUGGCAGUAGGUAAUGAAGGAUUAAUGCUUGGUGAUCCCUGUAAGCCAGGGGCAUUCCCACUCAUCCCUCUCUGCAUAUAGUAAGGAGCGGAACCAGGUAACAUCAUACCUUCCCUUCGAUCCAUACAUUUAUUUCUUUUCUCAGAACUCCAAAAACAAUAAAUCCCCUUUAAACAGUUAUUUAGAUCUCAAAGGAAAGGGGAUCAAAGUCACAGCUCUUUGUGCUAAACAUUAAAGGUGGUCUUCACAACAUGAAAAGCAGUAAAAGUUGCAGCCUUGGAUAAAUGGCAUAAAAAGACUGAACUUCCUUAAACACUGAAGGGAACUUUAUUAUACACAUUCAGUAUCUCCUUAAAACCUCUCAAUUAGUGCAAAAUCUGAAAAGAUUUUAAGACUGUGUUAGUGAUAUGAAGUUAAGAAAUAGCAACAUAAACUAGGCAUAUAGAUAAAAGUAGAAACACAUUAAAGUAAGAGAAUGAUAGGAAAAGAGUCCCGACUUACUAAAUUCAACAGAUAAACAAAACAAGAGGCUAAGAGACAUGUGCAUGGGAAGAGAAAUGCAAGUUCAAAGCAAAAGCGCUAAGAUAAACAAGAAAGAACACGAAAAAGAAUACAAGAACUUUUAGCAGCUUACCAAACCAAUUAGAAAAGGAAAGGGGCUUCACAUUUAAGAAAAAUGCAAAAACAAACAGAUGCUAAACUAAUAUAUUAGUCUGGUCUAUCUUCACCUUACCAUUCAAAACCAACCCUUAAUUAAACACCAAGUUUCUGCUUCAUGGACAAAAUCCCACAAACCAUUUAAAAAGAAAGAGCCAAAACCCAACAAAGAAAUCAAUGUCAUUGCAUCAGGAACAAAAACCCCAGUAAUAAAAAUCCAUUCUUGAUAUUGCAAAUUCAAUAAAGAUCACAACUUUAUGAUAUUUUUGCCCAAGAAACUGACACCAAAUUGAUUAAAAUGCAAAAAGGAGGUAACCCUUUUGGGGAAAAAGAAAGUUUAAAGCAUAGAUAAAGAAAGAGGGGGGAAAUGGUGAAGUUAGUAUAACCUGUGACAAGUCCUUAUCUGAAAUGAAAAUGGAAAUUCAAAUGUGGGGUAGGGAGAGCUAUUUCUGUUUCAGUUUCAGAGGGUAUAGAUAUGUUUUGUGUCAUUGUGUGGUAUGUGAGAGAGAAAUUGAGUGAUGCCAAUUUGUUUGAGCAAAGUUUCUGAAGAUUGAAUUGAAGAGAGAGUAUAUGCGUUCUGUCAAACCUGAAAAAAGGCGCUGAGUGGAUAAUGCCGAUAUUUAUUGCGCUGAUUGAAUUUAAUAACGACUUUUCAAUUUGCUUGUCCAUUUCCACGCGCAGUUUGUGGCGCGUUGGCACGCCCAUUUUUUAACUAGUCGUCAGUUUGUGAUGGAAGGAAUUAGUAAUACAUGAAUUAUAAUGUAAAAUUAUUUUUUACUGGAUAUUUGAUUGUCUAAAAUAGAAUGUAUGGUAAAAUUUAACAUAUGGUUUAUUUUGUUAAAUUUAAUAAAAUUGAAAGGUGUUGGUGUUGGAAAAAAGAUAAUGGGCAAUUGUUUUUUUUGGGUGUUUAAUUUAUCCAUAUAUUGUUAUUUCAAGUUUAUAUUAAGUACAAAAUAAUACACAAAUUGGUGUAUUAAUUCAUACCAAGAUUAACUAUGCAUGAUUCAAAUACUAAUCAAAGACCGGAUAAAACAAUAUCAAAUUUGAUAUCUUCAUAUAUUAUUUCAUCCAUUCAUAUAGUCCUAACUCCUAAGGUGUUGAGUCGUUACUUGCUUUUAGAGCAUUUUGUUAGGAAAAUGUGGGAUUAUAACACAACUACACAAGAAUUACGCUGACGUGGGAUUAAAUAUUUGAGUUAUGAAAUCGGAUGUGCUUUAUCUCUUGAUUGUUCAUAAUGUAAGUUAAAAAUUUAAAGUGGUAACAAAGUUUUCGUCUCUAAUACCUUAUUAUCCUUCAUUAUAACUACAUACAAGAUAGUUUACUCACUUGCACGGAUUUCACUAAUUGGCCAAUUAUUUUAACUUGAACAAUGCCCUUCUCUAACUCAUCCGAGACAGAGUAACUUUGUUGAGAGAUGGUUUGAGUCAGUCUGUCAGAGCAAUUAUCCCGAACAGAAAGUAAUCUGUAUUUAUAAAUUAGUAAAACAGUUAGAUGUAUACUUGAAAAAAUAUAUUGUAUUUGAGUAUAUAUGCAGUGAAAAAAAUAUAUAUUGAACCGUGUUUUAAACUCGUCAGAUUAAGAAAAACUUGCGCACAAAAUAUGAAUAUGCAAAACAACAUACGUUUAAGAUGAAAUGAAUAACUUUCACAAAGUAACGUCAAAUUGAAUAAUUAUAUUUUACAUUGAAUUUAUGGACUUUUAUGAGCUGCAUAACAACAAUAAUAGGGUGGUUGUUAGAACUUAGUAAGCAGGGGCGGACCUACGUUGUGGGUUGAGGGGUCACAGGACCCUAUUAGUCUCGGCAAAAAUAUUGUAUAUAUAUGUUAUAUAUAUCUAUCCAUAUAUAUGGGACCCAAUAUAUAUUUGAGUUGUGCCCCCAAACAGAGAAAGGCUGAUGGAGGAGUGGUUGUGUUGGGCAAUUAAAUUUGCUCAAUGGCUGGAUGGCGAGGGUUCGAAACCCUACUUCAGCCUUUUCUCCUUUUUGUUUUAGUUCUUGGAAUAUAACAGUUUUUAUACUUAAUAGUUAAUACUCUGUAAAUUGCUUUAUUUUUAACUUUUAUCUUCUUUUUGAAUUCAACUAUAGCUUAGUACUAAUAUACAUAAUAGUCAACUUNNNNNNNNNNNNNNNNNNNNNNNNNNNNNNNNNNNNNNNNNNNNNNNNNNNNNNNNNNNNNNNNNNNNNNNNNNNNNNNNNNNNNNNNNNNNNNNNNNNNNNNNNNNNNNNNNNNNNNNNNNNNNNNNNNNNNNNNNNNNNNNNNNNNNNNNNNNNNNNNNNNNNNNNNNNNNNNNNNNNNNNNNNNNNNNNNNNNNNNNNNNNNNNNNNNNNNNNNNNNNNNNNNNNNNNNNNNNNNNNNNNNNNNNNNNNNNNNNNNNNNNNNNNNNNNNNNNNNNNNNNNNNNNNNNNNNNNNNNNNNNNNNNNNNNNNNNNNNNNNNNNNNNNNNNNNNNNNNNNNNNNNNNNNNNNNNNNNNNNNNNNNNNNNNNNNNNNNNNNNNNNNNNNNNNNNNNNNNNNNNNNNNNNNNNNNNNNNNNNNNNNNNNNNNNNNNNNNNNNNNNNNNNNNNNNNNNNNNNNNNNNNNNNNNNNNNNNNNNNNNNNNNNNNNNNNNNNNNNNNNNNNNNNNNNNNNNNNNNNNNNNNNNNNNNNNNNNNNNNNNNNNNNNNNNNNNNNNNNNNNNNNNNNNNNNNNNNNNNNNNNNNNNNNNNNNNNNNNNNNNNNNNNNNNNNNNNNNNNNNNNNNNNNNNNNNNNNNNNNNNNNNNNNNNNNNNNNNNNNNNNNNNNNNNNNNNNNNNNNNNNNNNNNNNNNNNNNNNNNNNNNNNNNNNNNNNNNNNNNNNNNNNNNNNNNNNCUUAAUCAAACACCUUCCCUUCACAUAGCAUCCAUUUUACGAAGAAAUCUCUCUUUGUUCGGUGCUUUCUUUUUCUUUAGAACUUCUUUUUGUUUAUAUUUGAAUGGUAAGUCAUCAUAAUAUUAAGUUUUCAAAGAGUUGCACACCAAAUUUUAUCGCUAGUAAUUAGCAUACUGUGGUGCACCCGUCUUGCUCUAAUCCUGGGUCCGCCUCUGUUAGUAAGUGAGGUACAAUUUCAUCAACAAAUUCGCCCCAGAAUGUAGCAGACAACUUCUUCCUCGUGCCAAAUAGAAAUGAAUAUAUAAUUUUAAGCAUAUGUAAUUAUCAAAUCCAUCCUUAAUCAGUAGAUGACUGUUUAUUCUUACUCAUCAUCUUCUAGUAUGAUAUUCAUAAACUUCCUAGAAAUUUCACCUUGUUUGUGCAUUUGUACCCCACUAAAACUGACAAUUUCUCCUAUCACAUCUAAAGAAAAAGAAGAUGUUAAAAGAAAUAGCAGAAAAGUUCAUAAUUAAAAAUGUAAGGUAAAAGUUAUUUUUACCGAAUAAUUCAGUCUCGUUCACAUCAACCUUAUUUGUCAAUUGAUCAUAUGGCCGCAAAUCAAAGAUAUUCAUUGAGAAAAGUGGAACGGUUGUUUCAAUCAUUGUUGUCCGUUGAGUGAAUGUCAGACUCAACCUAUAUUUUGUGGUGUUGAACCUCUCCUUAUUUUGACAAACGAUAAAGUUCGCCAUAAAAUACAAUCCAAGCUCAUUAACUUGUGUUUUGAAAAGAUGCAAAACUGACUUUCCAAUAGAAGCAUGUAUCUAAUCGCCCUACAAAGAGUUACAUUAAAUAAAAAAAGUGUUUGAAGGAAUUAGUAAUACAAUAAUUUCAUAUUAACUAAUACAAAUCUUUAUUUUACUUGAAUACUUGAAUUUAUACUAAUACUAAUUUGAAGUAAUAUUACUUUUCAAUAGUAGAGUUGAAAGAAUUAGUAAGUGAAAGAAAUAGAGAAACAACUCCACAUUUGUAAUUUAAUCACAUUAAAAAACAGAGAAGGUAUAACGAUUUAGCAACACAAAAAAUCCAGAGUAACUAAUACUAAUUUAUAUUAUUGUAAUUGAAUACUUGAAUUUAUACUAAUACUACUUAUCAAUAAUAGAGUUUAAUGAAUUAGUAAGUCAAACAAACAGAGCAAAAACUCCAAAUUUUUCUUUUCAACAGUAAAGUUAAACGAAUUAGUAAUUAAGUCACAUAAACAGAGUAACUACUCUAGAUUUGAAACUUAAUUUAUACUAAUAGUAAUUUUAUCCGGUAGACUUAGAACGAAUUAAUAACUCAAACACACAAAGCAACAAAUUCAAAUUUGCAACUUAAGAAACAGCGACCAAAACAAAUUAGUAAGAAAAUAAUAUAUUUUAAAGACCUUUUCAUCUUGUAGAACCAAUUCAAUCGAGAAUGUAGUGUCUGAAUUAUAACAAUCCGGUACUUCCCACAGACGGACAACUCAAACUUUCAACUUCCAUUGCAUUUUCGAAAUUGUUAUAUCCUUGAUGAAAUCACUGUGAGUAGUCAUUCUUUGCAUAAGCCGUAUGUUUUUUUGGAUUCUUGAUAGAAUUGAAGUACCGUGUAUCAGUGGAAGAAAUAUAAGUUUACAAUUUUGAGCAGUUGUUACCGAGUAGUGGAUAGAGAUCGUGAGUUUCAAUCGGGGUUUAGAUAGUUGAGGACACUCUGACUAUCGUUAUUUUGCAAGGAUAAUUUAGGGUAAGUGGAAGCUAAACAGUUUUUAAAUUAUGUUGUGGAUUAAAUGGUUAUUCACAUGUAAACCCAUUUAAUUCUUAAAAAAUAAAAAGUUCUGAAAUUUCUACCUAAUUUUGUAGGACAUUUUUCUCCCAAAUAAAGUUUUAGUUCAUAAUUAGUUGUAGCAAUGUCCUAAAGUGCCAAGUGGCAUAUUGGGGUGAUGUCACUUUGGCUUAAUGAGAUUACUUUUUCUUCUACUUUCAAUUAUAGAUAGAUUGUACGUAAACAAUCACUCAUACGUACGUUUUUCACUCUAUAAAAGAAGAAGCACAAAAGGUAACNNNNNNNNNNNNNNNNNNNNNNNNNUCGCAAAAAAAGAACAUAUAAAUUAAAGAACAAAGCCAAACAGUACCUAAAGAAUAAAAGUUUGAGAUGAACGAGAAAGGACAAUGAUAUCAUAUGGAGCUGACUUUCCACGAUGAUAAUGAAGUAAAGGAGCGUUAAACUAGCUAUUUCAUUUUCAUAUUUCCAAAGUUUAAUUGGUACGUAUAAAUGCAAGUCAAAUUUAUUUAUGCUAAUAAUUGUUGUCAGCAUUCGACCAUAGUUUAAUUCAUUCUCCUAAUGUAUUGAAUCUUCCCCGUGUCCACUUCUGAUCUGCAGUGACAGUGUAGGACAUGAUGUGUGUGUGAGACUAGUUGCUGCAUGUCCAACGGUAUAGGUCCUCCUUAGGUGUGGAACCAAACUUGUAUAAACUCCUUUUUUUUCGCUUAAAUAUUUAGUAUCACUGAUCCGAUUCAUGUAAACUCAAUAAACUAGUAAAGGCGCUCCAUAUUGAGAUGUUCUUCGAUCCAUUUCCAGGACGCGAACUUAAAAUUUUUGAGUAAUGGUGACGAAAUCUCAAUCGUAACUCUAGUCUUUAUUGGGAUGUAAUGGAUUGAAUGUUUUAAUUUGACAUGGUACAAUAGCAUAAUGUACUUUAGAUUUACUAUAUUAGGUCGGGAGAGAGUACUUUACCAGCAUCGUAUGUAACGAAAAUAACUUAGCUAUUAUCUUUUAUAUUAAUUAAUUUUAUACUUAAUCAUAAAUAAAUGAUACAGAAUUUCACUUUAUUAGUAUAACCAUAUAACAUAAGUAUUUUACAAGUUGUAAGGGGCAAAGGUCCCCAAAAGUCACGGGCGUGCAACGCCCAGGAUUCAAUCAGAGAUUUAUUACGCAGGCUGGCCAAGUUUGUGAAAGGGACAAUUGAGAUGACGAGACCUUUUUUGGGCCUCGAAGAGAAAACAAGUGGGAGAGACUAUAGUGUAGGUGGAGCCUCUUCAACACCAAGUGGGAGAGACUAUAUGGAUAUGGAUAGUUAUUGUGAGAUUCAUACAAAGACAACGUGAUGCUGCUUUUGAAUGCACUUCCCUCCAUUUUCUAUAUCAAAAUCCUUUGCCACUAGUGAACAUAAACCAGGCAGGGCAAAAUCAUUGACAAAUACUAAAUGGGACAGGACAAGACAGGUUAAAAUUUUAGCACGUUAAGGCUAGCUUUGCCCAGUCCUGACCCAUUUACAUCCCUAUAGGUAGGAGAAAGAUUCAAGGACGACGCAGUCGAGGCUUCUUUUCCUUCCGGAGAAAUAUUCAAUAAUGUGUAUUAUUUGAUCACUAUUGUUGCUAUUGUUUCUCUAUUGCUCCAUUUUUAACGUUCUUGAGCCGAGAGUCUUUCGGAAACAUAUGUCUACCUUCAUAGGGAGGGGUAAGGUCUGCGUACACACUACCCUUCUUAAACUCCACUUGUGGGAUUCCACUGGCUUGGUAGUGGUUGUUGUAGUAGAAAUAUUCAAGAAUGUAGAUGACACUCCUUUUCCUUUCAGUCCUUUUUGUCUUCAAACUUUUUCUAUAUGACAAAAUCUUGAGUAACAUAUCAGAAAUAUCUAGUGAGAAGCAAGCCAACAAGAUGCCCUAUUUGUGGAGAAAAAAUUGUGCAUAGAAAAGGUCAUUAUGUGAAAAGAUAUGGCAUAUCCAGCAGCUUCUAUUACACUUGAGAUUGGCACCCCUGUGGAUAGAUGGUCCAUGAAAGCCUCUGCAACAUCAUGCAGAGCUAAUGUGUACCCCAGUUUUAUACUUUGCCUUAGAUCUUGUUCUCCCGACGGGCUACUACGGAUAUUUUCUUAUUCUGUAUGUUAUAUACAAAAAUUAUACAAAUUUUAUAUAUUUUUCGGCUAUUAUUUUUACAACGGCUAUACAAUGUCAUUUUUUCAAAAAUAUAUGUACUACUUUUAGCUAAUACCUCUAACCAAACACGGAAUAAAUUUAAUCCUAAAAUUACCAGGAUAAUACCUUAAACCAAGUGUCACAAGCAUGAAAAUAUCUACUCCAGAGUUUAGACGGGCAUCUUCUUUUUGGUGAUGGGAUAAUAAAGUUUAGAGGGGAAUUCUUAACACCAAGGGCAAGCAAAGAAACUUCAUAGCAUAAUGCUCUCGACAUCAGAAUUAAACCAUAUAUAUGCGUGUAGCUACUCCCAGAGAACAACCACAACAAAGGUGCAGCUUAAGUCUCCUUUUCGUAUUGGCCAAAGUAAGGUUCGUGGCUACAGGGGGCUUCGCAGUUCCAACAAAACACUAUUAGCUUAAGUCAUAACUAACACAAACAGAAUAAUCCUUUGACAUAAGCACUUCAACUUCACUUUUGUUCAGUGUAAACUACCACUACUUCAAUUACUUGUUCCAUGGAUUCAAUCAAGUUCCACAACAUAGGUAAAUUGCUAAAUCUGGAGAUCUCAAAACAUCAAUGCACAAACCUUUCCUUUCUCUGUUGCUCUUUACCUAUUUCCAGCUGUGAUUACCCCAAAGUGUCAAUAUAGCUACUAUUUUGAAAUCAAAGACCCUAUUCUACCUGUUUAGUGGGCAAUGAACUGUUCUCCUUGAUGUAGUUCGUUAUCAAUGCACUGCCUAAUAACAUAUGCAUAUACAGUUACAACUUUGUAAUACCCAAUGCUAAGAACUUGCUACAAGCUCUCCAAACCUAAAAUCUAGCUAAACUUUAUUAAAAUGUGACAAAUAUUUUUUUUCUAGCCUAGAGCUGAAAGAUCUCUCUAACUGAUACUCCAUAGUACAGCACCUUCGUGGUGAUUUCACUCAUGAAUAUACCUUACUCGCUUUCGAACAAGACAAGAUCUUUGCGAGCUCUAACUUAAGGGACAGUAAUGCUUUCAAAUGUCAAAUGCCACUCUGAAAACCAAAGCAUAAAAGCAGAAUGAAGCUGCAUUUUCUUUCCUCCAAAUAAUUCCCAGCACUUUUUCCUUCCACCAAAGAGGUCCACUUCUGCAACAGAUGUUUUAAAACUCCUGAAAGUUUUCAGAUCAAACUACAGGUCUCAUUCCAGUAGGCAACACAUGAAACUCAAACAUCUUCAAUACUGAUCAGAAAAAAGGCAGCAAGGAAACUCUGUCGCAAUCUCCCAACAAUAAAAGUAAUGGAGCUAAGUUACUGUGUACAAGGAAAGAGAGCGACGAGCAAAGAUGUAAAAACUUGUAUUGAGCUUACAGAGCCUUAUCACCAAGAUGGUAAUGCUUCGAUGGAAGGAAUCUGAAGAAAAUGGGAAAGGAAGGACAAAAAUGACAACUGUGGUGGGGGUGUAUAACAGUACUGACCUUUUUUUAAAGAAAAAACUAACAUCCCUUAUCAUGGACAUUGUAAAAUGCCACUCAACCUAUUGUCAGCUUGCUCAAGAUCUGAACUCCAAAUUCCCAUUGUUGUCCCCAUGCCGAACUACUCAAACUCGGUCAAAUAUGGUAAUGCUAAGAACCAAAACAUUGCAAGACACAAACAUGGUAAAAGAUUAAAAAGGUAAAAGCACGAGAACGAAUAUUGAAUAGAAACUAUGGAACAUGAACAAAUAUCAAAUCUUUAUCAACUAAUUGCGGAGGAAAGACGUAAACAGCUUCUUCAAUUUCACAGACCAAAUGGUGAAAUGAUGAAAAAGAAGACAAGGAGGACUAAUUCAGUUAUCUAAUCAACCAAACUUUCUGAUUGAUUAUACAUUGCACCCGACCAAAUUACAGCAUAAUCUCAUUUGUCAACCUCCAUAGCUUGUGCAGCUUUAGCUUUGGCCAAUGGUGUCAACUUCGUCUUCAAUUUUUUCUUCCCCACUUGAAACCCACUUCCACCUGUCUUCUUCUUGUCCUUACCAUCUACCUAAAUCACAUCAUCAUCCAAAUUAAUUCCUUUCUUUCUUGUUUUUGUUGGUUAAAUUAAACUUCUAUUAUCAUCACCCAAGAUAAGUGGCGGAGCACACGCAAUUGAAGGGGAUUCUUAGGGAAGUUAUAUUGUGUAGAUAGGGUAAAAUAUUUUUAUACAUAUAUAAAAUUUUGAAUCCUUCAUAAGAGAUAAACAAGUUCAAAUCCUGGGUGUGCCAUUUUUAGAUUUUAUUAAUCCCCUUGUCAGAAUUCCUGGCUCCGAUACUGUCCAAAAUAGCUCCUUUUUUUUGGAUAAAGUAAUUUUCUGAUCAUCUUCAAAAAGCUCCUGGCUAUUGAAUGUGUAAAACUACUAUUGAAAUAUCAAAGAUUACCCAGUAAAGAUAUAGAUUUUUCUGAUUAAAUUAGUGUAUACAUCAGAGAAAUAACGAUGCAAUUAAAGAGGUUAACUAUGGAAAAAAUGCAUGUUUUACAGAUGAUAAAGGCAGGAUGAUUAACCUUCAUCUUGUUCUUUUUUGCUUGUAGCUUCUUCUCUAGCUUUUCUUUCUCUGCUUUUUCCUCUAUAUUUUCACCAUCAAUCAAUAAUUAGUAUCACAUCAAAAUAUUAUUUUUGUAAAACGUAAAUAAAAAGCAUAACUUCACGAGGCCUAGCAAAUAACAUAAUAUAUGAACGAUAAAAAGGAAAAGAAGGGGCAAAGAAUUGUACUUCGAAGAUUGAAUUCGUGCUGUCUUUUCCGUCGACCCAAAUCGUUUUUCUUCGACAUUUUGGCGACGGUGCUCGCUCUCUGGGAUUGUUUGCUUCUUCUACCAAUACCUUAAACCCUAAAAUUUUCAAAGUUUCAGCCGCAUAUUAAUAUUGUUCCCUUGAUAUCAUUUUAAAACUCAAGUUUCCUCUUUGCUAAUUU
rnacentral:lncRNA from 1 species